rnacentral:lncRNA from 1 species
AAGUCCUGUCUGUGCUCAGUGAAGAGGACACUUUAUGUCACCUCCAGGGAAGGAUGUACUGGGGUCCCAACUUCCCUUCAGGGUCCUAACACCUUCAUUCCUUAGCCAGAGCAUCAAGCAUCAAGCACCUGACUGGGAUGGCACAUUCGGACAAAACCCCACAUCCAGCUCAGGCCCAGCAGCCUCAGGAGGAAAUCUAAGGCUAGCAGGGCACUCGUGCUGUAAGAACGGGGACUGUUCACAGCGCCAGGGAGAGGUGAUCAGAACACACAAACUCACUGCUUCUGAUUGCUUUAGAACUAAGGCCCUUUGUCUCAUUAUUUCACCUCAGGUAUUAAAGCAACUUAAGUAACAAAAUCAGCAUAAAAGCACAGAGAUUUCUGAAUUAACUGUUUCUGUUUUGCCUUGAAGAAAUCCCCCACAGUUGGGCACUGAGAGUUUGUUGGAAGCUCUAACCAGGAGGCUCGGCUGCCGUUUGCCACCCUCGCGGGAAGAGCAUUCCUCCUCCUUCCCUGGGGAAAGCCUCUCCCAGAAGGUUUUGCUGAGGAGCAGGGGGAGGACAGGGCUACACAGCCACCCCUUCUGCCAAAUCUCUCUGAGGAAACAAGUGGUGACAGCUCAGGUCCCCCAAAACAGCUUCUUUCAAUCCAGGACUUUCUGUAGAAGAGGUAAAUGUGUUCACUUAGGGGACAAGCAACCAUACAGAAAACAGGAAGAUGGAUGCAACUGCUGGAACAUUCCACAGAUGAGAACCUCAGGCAGGGAGUCAGGACUCAAAGCUCCAUCUUCAGGCUUUUGUCUUGAAGUGUGAUUCAAGUUUUUAAAAUAUUUUCAUCCCUUAUGGAAAUACUCAUUAAUUUUUUGGGAAAACUUGUUUUAACCGUGAGCACUGAGGAGAUAAGUUCGUGUUAGGAAGCUUGUUUGCCACAGAUUUUUCAGACCCAAGGAAGAGCUGCCAGUGGUAUCACAUCAACAUUGGUUGAGUUAUUCCAACAAUGAUGCUCAGCUGAGGCCCCAGGCAAGCAGGGGUGGAGACGAUUUUAUCCUCCACCUUGGCCUUUGUCUUUGGUCCAUUCUGUGGCACUCUGCAGUGGCAGCGGCUGCUGUUCUGUGGGGAGACAACCUACAGGGAGAAGAGACGAAGCUGAGACAGGGAAACUUGUCACUCCUAAACUGUGACCUCACUGUGACAUUUUCCUUUCUAAGAAAUGAAAAUAGUACCUGUUCUUCACUUCUCAAAAAAGACGUUGAAAUGACUGAAAAAAUUGGAAGUACUGUCUAUGAUUUGUUUCUUUAUGGAUUUUCACUUUUGUGAUCUCCCAGUUUUAAGAUUAAAGACAGAACCAAAGAGAAUAUGUCUGGUAGUACUGUGAAAAGCAUUUUACAGUCAUUUCUAACAUAUACAGUGGCCAAGAUAUUUUCAUUUCUAAAAAGAACUGCAUCUGCAAAGAGACUCUUGCCUUGAGCUUUUCCUAGCGACUCAAAUAGAGACCCAAGGUGUCUAAAACCUCUCAACUGAAGAAUGUGCGUGUCAGGGGACAAGGGGAGUGACAUUCCAGAUAUUCGUGACACCUCUGGAAAAUCAUCUUUGUCAUCUGUAGAAGGCAUCUCUUAAUGUUUCUAUGCAAACACCCACGAGCAUGUCCUAGUUUUCCUUCAGCCUCAGAAAAGCACCCAAAGAUUCUGUAGUGUUAGGCAUAUGCUACAAAGCAUUAAGAGGGAAAGAAGAUAAAACAGAUUCCACAUUGAUAUUCUGUGUGUUUUUCAUUAUUAGGUCAAGUAUAUUCAGAGUAUCAAAUUUUUGUAUUGCUUUGUAAUGAUCACGCCUUGAAUCCAGGAAGAAAUGCAUCUUCUUCAAUGGAGCUGAGAAUAAGUAUCACAGUUUAAGCUGGUUUUGAUUUGUUAUUCAUUGAAAACAAAGCAAGUUGUUGGUUUUUAAUAAAUGUUAAAACCAAUCAAUAAAAAGUAAGUUGGACUUAUGAAACGGUCCAUUUGGGACUCAUAGAAUAUAGAUGAACUAAAGUGUUUUAGCAAAGCACCUGAAAGGUCGAAAAGAUGUUGUUUCUGGAAUGGCUGGAGAUUUAAAGCACAAGUGCUAGAAAAGAAAACAAAGGAAAAUUCAAUUCGGAUUUAUCAACAACAUGAAGCCAGGAGACAUGAAGCUGGAAAAUAAGCAAGCUAAUUACCAUCAGUGAAUAAUAAAUUAGACCUCCACUAAACAGAACAACAUUUAUUUAAGUAGAAAUAAAAAUAAAAGUACUUCUUAUAUUGCCCAUAAUGUUGCACAGCCAUUUUAGUUUCUUUAUAUAUUCACUGGCUUUAUAUUAUUUUGGAAAACAUAAUAUCGGCUCUCUAUACACUGAAACAAAAAGGUACAUUUGAGGACUGUAGGAGGAUAUCACAUCCUGCCUGCACUCAGAAAAAAACAUUGCUCCUGAGGAAAAAUUGCUGCUCUUAAAUUUGCUGUUGCAUUUCUUAGCUAAGAAGCAAAGAUUCCUUAGUGGAAGGGGAACGGGACAAGGCUUAGAUGUUCCAACUGCUCUAAAAGAAAUUUAAAAAUAGAGUAAUUGUAGGUAGUAAUUCCAAAUAAUACAAAAUAUUUAAACUCUUAUUCCAGUAAAAAUGUCUUCUGUUUGUAAAGAUAAAGUAGAAUUUUGAGUUUAAAUUGUUGAAAAUUAAUGUUGAAUUGUUUUUUAAAUACAUUGAGAAAGACACAUGUCCCAUUUUG